GAAAAAACAACCGACCAUAUUGGAGAAACAAGCCUUCUUAGAACUUAAAGUGGGGCUGAGGCUGGCGUGGCUCUGAAGUUGAGCAAAACUCAUUUUAACUCAAGAGGCCUUUGCUCUUUUCGUAACAAGGAGAAGUUGGCAAGAGAAUUUUCUGAGAAGAGUGCAAAGUGAAUAACGAAAAAUCAAUGAUACCUGUUCCUGUGUUCUUGGUCAUCAAAUAUGCUUACGAUCAGAUCGCUUCAGUCAGCUUCAGAACUAAAAACCUAUUGUGAUCUACAUCUGGGGAAAAGUGCUGGUGUGGAAGAAAGGACCUGGAAUACACAGAUGCUUCCAGAGAGGCAGGAUAGAGCCUGAAAUCCUGGCUUCUCACAGCCCCUCCCCACCUCCAACUGCCCAGUGACCUUGGGCCACUUCCUUCAACAACUAAGCCCACUCCU